UACGUAGGGUGCAAGCGUUAAUCGGAAUUACUGGGCGUAAAGCGUGCGCAGGCGGUUUUGUAAGUCUGUCGUGAAAUCCCCCGGGCUCAACCUGGGAAUUGCGAUGGAGACUGCAAGGCUAGAAUCUGGCAGAGGGGGGUAGAAUUCCACGUGUAGCAGUGAAAUGCGUAGAGAUGUGGAGGAACACCGAUGGCGAAGGCAGCCCCCUGGGUCAAGAUUGACGCUCAUGCACGAAAGCGUGGGGAGCAAACAGG
rnacentral:rRNA from 1 species